UACGGGAGGCAGCAGUGGGGAAUAUUGCACAAUGGGCGCAAGCCUGAUGCAGCCAUGCCGCGUGUAUGAAGAAGGCCUUCGGGUUGUAAAGUACUUUCAGUCGUGAGGAAGGUGUUAAGGUUAAUAACCUUAGCAAUUGACGUUAGCGACAGAAGAAGCACCGGCUAACUCCGUGCCAGCAGCCGCGGUAAUACGGAGGGUGCGAGCGUUAAUCGGAAUUACUGGGCGUAAAGGGCACGCAGGCGGUUAAUUAAGUUGGAUGUGAAAUCCCCGGGCUUAACCUGGGAAUGGCAUUCAAGCUGGUUAGCUAGAGUCUUGUAGAGGGGGUAGAAUUCCAUGUGUAGCGGUGAAAUGCGUAGAGAUGUGGAGGAAUACCGGUGGCGAAGGCGGCCCCUGGACAAAGGACUGACGCUCAUGUGCGAAAGCGUGGGGAGCAAAC
rnacentral:rRNA from 1 species